AUACGGAGGGUGCGAGCGUUGUUCGGAAUUACUGGGCGUAAAGAGCGUGUAGGCGGUUAACUAAGUCUGGUGUGAAAGCCCGGGGCUCACCCCCGGAAGUGCGCUGGAAACUGGUUAACUAGAGUAUGGGAGAGGGAAGUGGAAUUCCUGGUGUAGCGGUGAAAUGCGUAGAGAUCGACAAGAACACCUGUGGCGAAAGCGGGUCUCUGGACAGUGCCUGACGCUGAGGGACGAAAGCUAGGGGAGCAAACGGGAUUAGAAACCCCAGUAGUCC
rnacentral:rRNA from 1 species